GACACAUCAAGAGCAUCCGAGAGAGAGAAGAAAGUGAAAGGUGAGAGAGAUAGAUCACUAAAGUCUCCUGGAAAACCAAAUAUGCACGUCCCUUUGGAUUCAAGUUUUACUUUAACAAAAUUCCAGCAUUAAAAGAAGAAAAAAAAACAUGAAAAAUUAGUACGAGCUAUUCUACUAAAGUACUUUUCCCCGAAAUAAAUUACAAUCUCUUUAAAAAAAUUACAUAUCAACGUUGAUAAAGGUUUUUAUUUUGCUAUAAUAUCAUGGAGAUCAAGACCAUUAGACUUAUUGCUUAACUUAGCAACGAAAAAGGUAGAUACAUUAUUUCAUUAAUUCUUCCC
rnacentral:lncRNA from 1 species